UCAUGGAUGCAUACGAGGAGGUAAAAUAUAUAAUUAAGAAGAAAGGCAACACCGCCACAGUGAUAAAGCAAAGAGAAAAAGCGUGGCAAAGUAUUGCAGACCGCCUGAAUGCAUUAAACAUGAACGGGCCAAAACGGACAUGGCAGCAGGUCAAAAUCAAAUACAAGAACAUUCUGCAGAAUGCAGUGAAAAAGAAUACCCACAGACAAGGCACGGGUGGUGGGUCACCAAAGGCUGACCUUACCCCAGCAGAGGACAUGGCCUUGGAGCUAAAUAAAGGCAGGCCCGUCUUAGAGGGGAUCCCUGGGGGGGAAAGAGACGAGCAUAGGUUCCUCCCAAGAUGCCACCCGCUUCAUUCAAGUGCCUGGCAGCACUGUGUUCCUGUUAGAGCCACCAGCACAAGCACCAGACGAUGCUGAUCCAGUGAGUACUCCAUCAAAGGCAUACUGUAGGCCUGGCAUGUCUUGUCUACUAGCUUCAAUAUGAAUCCGAUUAAAUGUGAUCGGGUGAAAGCCCCAGUGCAGCAGCAACAGCACAUGAUGGAGACGAUGAUGAGGAGGAGACCAUCUCUCUGGAUUCCAGAAGGCAUGAGGACCCAGAUGCUAUACAGUGGGAAAGCCAGCCUGGCAACAUA